rnacentral:rRNA from 1 species
GACGAACGCUGGCGGCGUGCCUAAUACAUGCAAGUCGAGCGAGCGGAACUAACAGAUUUACUUCGGUAAUGACGUUAGGAAAGCGAGCGGCGGAUGGGUGAGUAACGCGUGGGGAACCUGCCCCAUAGUCUGGGAUACCACUUGGAAACAGGUGCUAAUACCGGAUAAGAAAGCAGAUCGCAUGAUCAGCUUUUAAAAGGCGGCGUAAGCUGUCGCUAUGGGAUGGCCCCGCGGUGCAUUAGCUAGUUGGUAAGGUAAAGGCUUACCAAGGCGAUGAUGCAUAGCCGAGUUGAGAGACUGAUCGGCCACAUUGGGACUGAGACACGGCCCAAACUCCUACGGGAGGCAGCAGUAGGGAAUCUUCCACAAUGGACGCAAGUCUGAUGGAGCAACGCCGCGUGAGUGAAGAAGGUUUUCGGAUCGUAAAGCUCUGUUGUUGGUGAAGAAGGAUAGAGGUAGUAACUGGCCUUUAUUUGACGGUAAUCAACCAGAAAGUCACGGCUAACUACGUG